rnacentral:rRNA from 1 species
UACGAAGGGUGCAAGCGUUACUCGGAAUUACUGGGCGUAAAGCGUGCGUAGGUGGUUCGUUAAGUCUGAUGUGAAAGCCCUGGGCUCAACCUGGGAAUGGCAUUGGAUACUGGCGAUCUAGAGUGCGGUAGAGGCAGUGGAAUUCCCGGUGUAGCAGUGAAAUGCGUAGAGAUCGGGAGGAACAUCUGUGGCGAAGGCGACUGCCUGGACCAGCACUG